CCUACGGGUGGCAGCAGUGAGGAAUAUUGGUCAAUGGACGCAAGUCUGAACCAGCCAUGCCGCGUGAAGGAAGAAGGUACAAUGAGUUGUAAACUGCUUUUGUACGAGGGUAAACGCAGAUACGCGUAUCUGUCUGAAAGUAUCGUACGAAUAAGCAUCGGCUAACUCCGUGCCAGCAGCCGCGGUAAUACGGAGGAUUCAAGCGUUAUCCGGAUUUAUUGGGUUUAAAGGGUGCGUAGGCGGUCGGAUAAGUUAGAGGUGAAAUCCCGGGGCUCAACUUCGGAAAUGCCUCUGAGACGGGCCGGCUAGAGUGUAGUUGCGGUAGGCGGAAUGUGUGGUGUAGCGGUGAAAUGCUUAGAGAUCAUGCAGAACACCGAUUGCGAAGGCAGCUUACCAGGCUACUUCUGACGCUGAGGCACGAAAGCGUGGGUAGCAAACAGGAUUAGAUACCCCGGUAGUC
rnacentral:rRNA from 1 species